CACGUGAGUUAGCUAAAUAUCCAUAUUUAAAAAAAAAACCAUACUUUUUUUCUGAAGAUUUUGCUCAAACAUUUUCUUCCUUAAUUCUUAUCCUCUUCUUUCCUCAUUUCUUCUUUUUUAUAAGUCAACUUUGAAGCUCAAUCGUCGACAUCUGUUGGAUUAUCAAGCUCUAUCUAUCGAUUUUUGGAAACCCUAGCUUGAAAUUAAGGCAGAGUGAAUGAGUAACUUGGAAAGUGGCAUCAGUUGUAGCAAGAAUUAUCAUGAAGACCUUCCACUUCUCAGUCAUGCUAGAACCUUAUGAAUCAACGUCAAAGAAAAAUGACAUUCAACUCAAGCUCAUCAUUCAAGGAAGAAUUCUUAAUUAAAAUUUUUGUGUAGGUUGUAUCCCAUUGUAGAUUUCAUCAUGACGCACCUUUGUGGGAGAAAUAUCGCAAUAGGAAAGUGCAAUCACGCCUCCUACAAAUAUUGAGUUUUCGAGCGACUUGAAUUCAUUAUUGCAACCAUACCUUCGUUGUGUUCUUUUGGUGAUUAGAAGAGGUCAAGGCCAUCUACAAAGGGAUUACAAAUAAUGUAGAAUACUCUAUUGUGAUAUCAUCUUCAUGAUGACAAGUGUUAAGGAACUCAUUUCUAAUUUCACUAAGUUGGACAAAUUUAUUAGUGUGGACUUUCAACGUUGGCUAAAGAAGAUGCUUAUUCUCUUGAAAACUCUAAAUGUUGCCUAUGUAAUUAGCACUUUUAGACCGAAGGAAUCGAAAGAUGAAAUCUUGGAGCAAGCAAGGAAAAGGAGCAAGUGGGACAGUGACGAUUUUAUAUGAUGGGGUAACAUCUUGAAUGGUAUGACGGAUACUCUUUUUGGUGUCGAUCAAUUUCAUGAGUCGGUUAAACUUUUGUGGGAUUCUCUUGAAGACAAAUAUAUGGCCGAGGAUGCGAGUUCAAAGAAAUUCCUUGUAAGUAAUUUUAAUGCAUAUAAAAUGGUCGUUAAUCCCUCAAUUAUUGAUCAAUUCCAUGACUUACAAAGGAUGUAUGGAAACAUGAAAAUACAUGAUAUUAAAAUGGAUGAAUGUUUGUUGUAAGUAGAAUCAUAUACAAGUUGCCUCCGUCAUGGAGGGAUGUUAGACAUGCACUAAAACAUGAGAAGGAAGACAUGAGUCUUGCCGAUCUUGGACGAAAUUUUGUUGUUGAGUCUAGCAUAGGGGCCUCAUAAGGGCAAUAGGAUCCAAAUCCUAUUGUUUGCUUGGUCAACAUGGUAAAGGAGAAACCCUCUCAAUGUGAAAAGCGUAAGAAGAUUUACAACUAGAAUUCUAGCAAAACAAAACAGUUGAAAAUGGGUUUUGGGAACGCGGAAAGCCCAAACAUCUAAAAAGGAAUUGUUUUGUUUUUAAGAAUAAACAAAAGAAUAAGGGUCAAGCUUCAACAAUCGAGGACCCCUUUACUAGAGGCGAUUAUUCCAUAUUAAAUAAACAUUCUAGUUUUGAUGUUUGUAUAAUGAAUACUAAUAAUAGUAUUGUGCAGGAUGAUCCAUUGUCUUAGUUAUUGAUUUAAGGUCGACUAGACAUGUUUGUAAGAACAAACAUUUGUUUAGAACCUUGCACAAGGUGGUUGAUGGGGAGUUUCUCUACAUGGGGAACACUUCUUCUAUCAAGGUCCAUAGAAAAGGGCAAGUUGAACUCAUGUUUACAUCUGAAAAUCUCUUAGUGUUAAGAGAUGUAUACUACGCUCCUGAUAUUAGUAGGAAUCUGGUUUGUUUGGCAUUGAACAUGGCACACAACACUAUUUGAAGUAUAUUAUUAUGUUUGAAAUGGUUAGAAUUGAAAACAAUAGUUCUAUGCAUUAAAUUACGUGCUAAGUUGCGUUUUUAAGGUUUUUUAAGCGUUUUUGGCACUUUCUCGCAUAAAUAAGUUCAAACUUGGUUUGUUUGGCAUGAAACUUGGCACAC